AGCCUCCGUUUUAGUUGUGAUCAGCUUUGAUCAGCUCUUCAACUUGAGAGUUUGAUCCUGGCUCAGAGCGAACGCUGGCGGCAGGCUUAACACAUGCAAGUCGAGCGGGCAUCCUCGUGGUGUCAGCGGCAGACGGGUGAGUAACGCGUGGGA
rnacentral:rRNA from 1 species